GUUAAAAUGUGGGCACUUUCUAACCCUUUUGAAUUUCUCAAAUAUGUUUACCUUUCUAGGUUUCUCUUUAUUUCUGUUUCCCUUUCAAAUAAGUGUAGAGAUUAAAUUGUAAAGCCUGCCUAUUUUUAGAUUUAAUCACCAAAAGUGUAAACACCUACUUACAGUAGUGGGGAGAUCUGCCCAUUUUUUAGAUUUAAUCACCAAAGGUGUAAACACACAUUAAGAGGGAGGUCUGUGACACACACAUGAAAUAGUGGGUAAUGAAUCAAAAUCAACUGACUUUUCCUGGGCCGUCCUAAAAGCAAAAGCAUCAACUGUGAUUGGUAGAUGUAAAAAUUAGGGGAAGUGAUGCAAAAGAAAGUGCCUUUAAAAGGGAGUGACAACUGCCUGAGUGCAGUUGGACUUGGAACUUUCACUUGGAGUGGAACCUCCUGUGAGAGAAAGUUCUACUGGGAGCUCUACUGGGAGUUUGAAUUGGGAUGGAGGCUGAUAAAGAAUCUGCUUACUGGACUGACAUGUGCUUUUUAA
rnacentral:lncRNA from 1 species